ensembl:lncRNA
UUGGUCUCUUCCACACGAGUGCCCCCUUUUAAAAAGUCUGCAUGCUCUGCUGUUUACAGCAGUACCUUAAGUAUCCCUCACGGAGGCAUUAGCAGAAUCUGCAAGCUGAGCAUAAUGAGAGACAUGGAGUGAGUUUGGAGUGGGACUAUUUGUUUCUCAGUGAAAUUCAGAACAUUUGCAAAAGGACUUUGGAUGUCAUAGCUGAGUAAAAUUGACAUUAAAGACCAUGGACCACAACAUUUCCUGCAUCCAACAGAAAUAGCCAAAAUCUUCCAGAAGUACUUAAUGGAGGAACAAGUGCACUCAACUGUCUGUCUCUCACUCACACACACAUUUUGAGCUGGGAAACUGUGAGAAGUAAGGUCAAAAUGGCACACGCACCUGACAACACUCCAGCGUCUGUCAUCUCACCUCAACAGCAUCUCUUCUUCAUGUUGACAUGCUUACCGCUCCAUUUUACUGCCAUGUAUUGUAAGCAUAACACCACACAAAUGAACAUAUAAAUGCUUUAAUGAACACACAUUGGAAAACAUUAUAAGUAAAACUGG